rnacentral:lncRNA from 1 species
GUCAGCACAAUUACAAGUCUACUGGCUCAUUUUAUUAUUUUAUUAUAGCAAUAUAGCUCUCACAGGAGGAGAGAAAACUGCUUUUAUCCUAUUGUGUUUAGUUGCCGGGGGACUGUCAAUUAAACUGAUAAGACAGACUAACGGGGAGAAUAAGGCUUGCCGGUACGGAUGAGAAAUCCAGCAACACAGCAGUUGGCACGUGGAAUGGCUGCCGUUAGGGACACGCACCUAGCUUCAUAGGUGAAAGGGAGAGGGAGGAAAGACACCUGCGGGAAGGACAAAAAUGCUUUUCUAGAAGAGACAGAGUUUUGGAGGAACAAAUAUAAGUUGCCUCCAGCUUGAAACAGUGAAUGCCAAAGUGCACAUGCUGAGGUGGAACAUUCUCGUCUCCCUGCCUCUAGACACCGGCCACAUGACCAUACGCAUUAAUUUUACGUCUCUAAAAAGCGGUGAGAGGCUUCACACCAAGUGAUAUGAUUUUGAUUCUACAUAGGAGUGAGAUCCUGUCUGGGCCAUGUUAAAGCUCAAAAACUGUUAGUCGAGCCGUUGCAACUCAGACACCUUCUGUAGUUAGAAAAG